AUGACACCCUUUGUAGAUGAUACUUUUAGAAAAACAUGUUCGCCGAUCUGAAAUUUCAAUUCUCUUCUUUUUCUAUCUGUCCAACUCUUCUGUCUAUCCUGUGAUACCUUGAGGCUUUCUUUGAUCAGAUAAAUUUUCUCUCUAGCAUCUUGAACUAACUCGGGAUCCAAUAAUUUUUUUCACCCACAUCAUCCCAAUACAAAGGAGAUCUACACUUUCUUCCAUAUAGGACUUCAUAGG
rnacentral:lncRNA from 1 species